rnacentral:sRNA from 1 species
UUUUUUUAUUCUGUUAUCUGACUUCUCAUUUUAAACAUUCAAAUAUAAUUUUAAUUUAUUUAUUGGUUAUGGGCCAAGUGUAGCGACAGAAUUUGUGAACUACAAAGAAAAUUUAGUCAAAAAUGGAAGAUUUUAAAUCCUGUACCAAAAAUUGAAUGGAGAGAAUUAUCAAAUCUGGAAGUAUAAAUUGGAGCUUUUGCUAAUGAAAGAGGAUUUGUGGGAUACAAUCUUUUGUGAAAAACCGGACAAUGCACCAGCACCAUGGAUAUGGCAAAUGGUAAGAAAAUCAAGGCUCAAGGUUCAGCUGAAGGAUUUCUAUCUUGAUAUGUUAAUAAAGUGACCAUCAAAAAUGUGCUGUAUGUUCCGGAACUAGAAGGUAAUCAGAAUCCACAUUUUUAAUGAAAAACGAAUCCUAGUAACUGCGAUACAUCUGAAAAACUUAUACGUACUGGAGUAAGACCAACAUGCAAAUUUUGCAACCAAUAAAGCAGUUGAAUGUAUUCAUACAUUUCAUCGUAGAUCGUGACGUUAAUGCCUUAAAGUUCGCCAUUAAAGAAAAUUUGAUUGGAAAUGUGUACUUGGCUGAAGCUAUCAUUGCGGCUAAUUAUUUUCAAAGCCGUCUGCCCUCUAAAGCUGUUAGUAAAACGCCCUACGGUAUAAACCUUCUACCAUAUAAAAAAAAAGCUUUUGCCAGAAAUUUGAUGAAGUACCCAAAACGUUUAUAUUUCUGAAAAAUCGAAAGGUUAUCGAAUUUUAGACCCAGAUACAAGCAAAGUUACAAUAUCAAGGGAAGUCAAAUUUUUGGAUGAAGUUUGUCAAGUUAUACUGGAGUGUAACGAGGUGCCGCUUGCAUUAUCACAAUCAGAUCAGCAAAACAUUAUGGUAACAGAUGAACCAAGUCAAGAUGACAGUGAAGACUAUAAUACAACUGAUGAAGUUCAAGAGAUAGAAGAAAAUAAUUUUUUGGUGGAAGAUUCAUCGACUGAUAUUGAUUGGAAACUAAUGCAAUCGAGCAAACGAACAAUAAAAACGAACAAUUGGAUCUUGUCAAAUAAUACAAGACCUGACUUAACUGUCGCGACAUCAAUUUAAGUCGAAAAGCAAACUAGAAUGACUAGAAUUCUAACGCGGAGGCGGCACAAUAUCAUAGGCAAGUCCUAAGCAGAAUCUUAAACUUCAAGGAUCUUAAACUUCAAGCUAAUGAUGUCUGUAUGAAAGGAGAUAACCAAAGCUGCCUCAAACUAUUAGAUGGGGCGAAAAUAAAUUCACGUACAAAGCACAUUGAUGUGACAUAUUAUAUUGUUCGAGAACUUAAACAAUCUAAGGAAGUGAUCUUUAAAUACUGUACAAGUAACGAAAUGUUAGCAGAAAGCCGCUACAGCACAUCGUAUAGAAAUAACGAAAUUCAAUAAUAUGAUUGGGCAUAUUUUGGGGAAUAUUGUUCUACUUGUUGUAGAAUCACUUUUUAGAAAAGAACUAAGUUUCAGUCACAUUAUCUAUGAAAUUGUAAUUGAAUUUUUUUGUACAUAUUUUUUUAUUCUGUUAUCUGACUUCUCAUUUCAAACAUUCAAAUAUAAUUUUCCUGUUUUAUAUUAUUCAUAAA